CCUGAUGGCUCAGAUGGUAAAGAAUCUGCCUGCAAUGCAGGAGACCAGGGUCCGAUCCCUGGGUCAGGA
rnacentral:tRNA from 1 species